CUAAAUACUCCUGACUGACCGAUAGUGAACCAGUACCGUGAGGGAAAGGCGAAAAGAACCCCGGCGAGGGGAGUGAAAAAGAACCUGAAACCGUGUACGUACAAGCAGUGGGAGCACGCUUAGGCGUGUGACUGCGUACCUUUUGUAUAAUGGGUCAGCGACUUAUAUUCUGUAGCAAGGUUAACCGAAUAGGGGAGCCGAAGGGAAACCGAGUCUUAACUGGGCGUUAAGUUGCAGGGUAUAGACCCGAAACCCGGUGAUCUAGCCAUGGGCAGGUUGAAGGUUGGGUAACACUAACUGGAGGACCGAACCGACUAAUGUUGAAAAAUUAGCGGAUGACUUGUGGCUGGGGGUGAAAGGCCAAUCAAACCGGGAGAUAGCUGGUUCUCCCCGAAAGCUAUUUAGGUAGCGCCUCGUGAAUUCAUCUCCGGGGGUAGAGCACUGUUUCGGCAAGGGGGUCAUCCCGACUUACCAACCCGAUGCAAACUGCGAAUACCGGAGAAUGUUAUCACGGGAGACACACGGCGGGUGCUAACGUCCGUCGUGAAGAGGGAAACAACCCAGACCGCCAGCUAAGGUCCCAAAGUCAUGGUUAAGUGGGAAACGAUGUGGGAAGGCCCAGACAGCCAGGAUGUUGGCUUAGAAGCAGCCAUCAUUUAAAGAAAGCGUAAUAGCUCACUGGUCGAGUCGGCCUGCGCGGAAGAUGUAACGGGGCUAAACCAUGCACCGAAGCUGCGGCAGCGACGCUGAUGCGUUGUUGGGUAGGGGAGCGUUCUGUAAGCCUGUGAAGGUGUGCUGUGAGGCAUGCUGGAGGUAUCAGAAGUGCGAAUGCUGACAUAAGUAACGAUAAAGCGGGUGAAAAGCCCGCUCGCCGGAAGACCAAGGGUUCCUGUCCAACGUUAAUCGGGGCAGGGUGAGUCGACCCCUAAGGCGAGGCCGAAAGGCGUAGUCGAUGGGAAACAGGUUAAUAUUCCUGUACUUGGUGUUACUGCGAAGGGGGGACGGAGAAGGCUAUGUUGGCCGGGCGACGGUUGUCCCGGUUUAAGCGUGUAGGCUGGUUUUCCAGGCAAAUCCGGAAAAUCAAGGCUGAGGCGUGAUGACGAGGCACUACGGUGCUGAAGCAACAAAUGCCCUGCUUCCAGGAAAAGCCUCUAAGCAUCAGGUAACAUCAAAUCGUACCCCAAACCGACACAGGUGGUCAGGUAGAGAAUACCAAGGCGCUUGAGAGAACUCGGGUGAAGGAACUAGGCAAAAUGGUGCCGUAACUUCGGGAGAAG
rnacentral:rRNA from 1 species